CUUAAAGACUCCAUGGCAGAGCUUGAGGAGCUCCAUGCACAGCUGAGGAACACACAUGGGACAGUGUAAAGGCACAGAGCAGGAACAAAACCAGAGAAAAUGGAGAUGAGUAGAUGUGCUAGAAGCCUUACAAUUAGGAAAGAGCCGUGAAGCCUUAGAGAAAGCGAGCCUUCAUAGGAUUUGUUCAUGCUCAGUAGCAGACACAGUCUCAUCCUGAUUUGAGUAGAAAACUGUGGAGUUAUCCAUAGCCUGGUGCAUGAUCUGUAAGUGGAGCACAUCACAGUACCUCUGCUUUCUUCAAAGAUUUACUCAGAAAGUUAAAAAUGAAGAUUUGAGAUAUUCUGCAGUGAAAGGGGAAAACUUGGUGACUUGAAUCCCGCUUUUAUUCCCAGAUUUCAUUUAUCUUUAUUUCUCAUUUCACUUGAGCAGUCUGAACACCAGAGCUGUCCCUCCUUAGGGCAGUGCCUGAAACACGAGGCUGCUCCACAGGGGAGAGUGGUGAAGCAUCAAAGCCUUUCCAUGCAGUGAAACAGAGCGCAGCAGCCCUUAAUUCUGCAUUCCCAAUCCCUGCUGGAACUUGAAGCACAGGACCUACGGACAGAAACAGCUUUGGAGGACAGAGCUGGCAGGAACAAGGAGCAGGAGGCAGAGAAUAUUCCAGGUAAUUCAGAAUUUCCCUUCCGUACAUCCCCAUUCUCUGCACGUGCGUUUUGCCAGCGUUCAGCCAGGAAGGAUCAAGGCUGCUUCCCUGCUACUGCAAGGAACUUUUCCAUGUGCCCACAAGGUCAUGGACACUCUGGAACAGGAGGGAUUGAGACAGCACAAGUGACAGCAGAGACGGCAUCUCCUGGGUGGAAGGAGCUGGAGCCGAGGCACCCACUUUGCUCCUCCUGGGAGACAGCUCCACGCAGUCAGACACCACCAGGGUGCCAAGCAAUGAAGUCAGCAGCACUGAACUCAGCAGCUGUACAGAUGUCUUGGGUUUGGGGCCAUGCUCAACAUAUCAACUCCAACAGGAGGUUUUUGGAAGGUUCCUCAGGAGCCAGGCGGUUCUUGCUGCACUGUCCACAGGCAAACACUGCUCUGGCUCUUUGGCCAAACUGGAACAGUGCCAGUCACUCAGGGAACUGCUGCCAUUGGUACAGCAAAAUUGUUCCUUCCCACAGUCAUCUUCACUGCUCUUUGUGGUUAUCUUGAAUAAAUAACUGUUAUUUUACCUCAGAA